GACGAACGCUGGCGGCGUGCUUAACACAUGCAAGUCGAACGAAGUGGCGAACGGGUGAGUAACCCGUAAUCAACCUGCCCUUCAGCGGGGGACAACAGUUGGAAACGACUGCUAAUCCCGCAUACUGAAGGAGGGGAUUGAUUCUGCUUAGUUAGUUGGAGGGGUAACGGCCCACGAAGGCGAGGAUAAGUAGCCGUUCUUGUCGGAUGCACGGCCCCAUUGGGACUGAGACACGGCCCAGACUUCUACGGGAGGCAGCAGUGGGGAAUCUUCCGAAAUGGACGAAAGUCUGACGGAGCAACGCGGCGUGAGUGAUGACGGCCUUCGGGUUGUAAAGCUCUGUUAAUCGGGACGCGGUACCGGAAUAGAAAGCCACGGCUAACUACGUGCCAGCAGCCGCGGUAAUAC
rnacentral:rRNA from 1 species